GAUUUUGUUACGGUCCUGAAUUUACAGUACGGUUAAUAACUAUGGAAAUUAAUGCGCUCCCAGUUACGAGAUUUUGUUAUGUUGGGAAACCAAGCACGAGAAACCGGAAUACUUAAGGCUAAGAUAGUGCCAGCAGCCGCGGUCAUACUACCUUAUGGAGUAAAUAAUAUAAGUGAACAAAUUAAUAAUAAUAUAUAUAAAUAUGGUAAAAUAUGUUCUGUAUGGUAACUAACAAAUUAAUUAAUAACCAAAUACUUAGAACAAACAAGGAUUAGAUACCCUUCUAUGAUGUAAAUAAAAAUAUUCACUGGGUACUAAAGUAUGUGCGCCCAAACUCAAAUAACAUGGCGGUAAUUUUAAAGCUUAGGGGAACUUACCUAAUAAAUGAUAACCACCAAGCGAAGCUACUUUGGGUAAAAUUUUGUAUGCCGUCGUCUAGAUUAAAUAUUAUAUUUAAUCCUUAGUCUAAAUAUACUAUAUGACAGAUCUUGGUGCAGACUAUCCUAAAGAUAAGGCGAGUUACAAUAAUAAUUUAGUUCUAAUUAGUUUAUUAAUAAACUAAUCUAGUUGGACUUAAUAGUAAGAAUAUAUUAUAAAUACUACCUGAAUAAUAAUAGAAUUGUGC
rnacentral:rRNA from 1 species